CCCAACUUUUCUGGAAUUAGGGUUGUAUAUUUAUGAAAAGUACCAUGUUUUGCCAUUUAUUACAAAAGUUAUAAUACUUAACUCAUCCUGGAUCUGCAAGUACAUACUGAGAUAAAAUGGUUAAAACCCCAUAGUGUAACCAAGUAAAUGCAGUUGUUCAUACAUUUGCCUCAUAUGUUGGAUAUUUAAAAAGUUGGAUGAUACUUGUUUAAAUUGCUCUAUGCUGAAAGUAGCUAAAAAAGGUUGAGAAUCUCACAUCUAGGAGUUUGGCAAGGUUUGGCUUAACAAGUCUGUAGGGCCUUGUGUUCCACAGAGAGACUAAUGACUGUGCUAUUAGAGAUGCACUCCAUCUCGGUGUCACCCCAUCCCAACCCUGUCCCAUAACACUGCCUCUGAUUAAAAUAUUAACUGUAGACAGCUCACAUCUCUGUGUCUUGAUGACAGGAACAUAAUACUCUUCAUACAACGGUGUGGCUAAACAUAGUGCAGCAUACCAGCUGAUGCUGCCACUCGUGUCUGUGUGUAUAAUAUAUGUGUGCUGGGAGACUUCUGAAUGUAUGACUUUGAUUGAUGUCUAUCACUGAACUUAACCUCUAUCUUGUACAACGCCACAUAUCUUGCAUACGUGUUUGUUUGUAGAUUUAUUUCUCUGUUGUCACAAUACUUGGAUACUCCUGCCCUUGUUAACAAGCCACUGUAGCUGCAUGGAAGAGUGGGCAUUUGUUUGAUCAUUGUGCGUGAGUAUUAUUUCCUCUAUGAUAAACCUACAAAGAUUACCUAGAAGAUUGGCAGUUCAUAUCACAUCACCUUUGGCUACUGCACCCUGCCAUUAAUGCUGCAAGAGAGGUGAGAGGGUAAUGGAAUAUGAGUUAGAACCUUACAUCUGUUGUGGACUGUUGAUCAGAUAUUACUCAUUCAAGAGAAUAUAAAAUGCCCUCAACUGUGUUAAACGCCUGUUAUAUUUACUGGCACGGGCUUAUCUAUUGCUUGCUGUUUGCGACACGCCUUUUUGCUUAGACAUUUGCUUGGCCUUUUUUUAAUCAUAGUUUUUCAUCAUACCUCAGUCUCUCUGUGUACUAAUAAAUCUUUUGUUACUAAGACUCAUAACUUUUUGUUGGAGUUAAUUUCAGGACCUAUGCAAUAUAUCCUUUUAUAGUUCGACAGACAUUCCUCAUUAAUGCUUCUUGAAAACUGCAGGACUCCAGGCACUCAGUUUGUGUGUGUAUAUACAGUGUCUUGUACCUGAUCCAACCAGCUAACACUCUCUGGUAAAUCCCAAAUGGAAACAGUUGUGUUUUGGCAUGGCAUUAUUUCCAAAGGGUAAAAUACAUUUAUUUUUAGCUUGAAAACCCCCUCAUUAGUCCAGCAAGGUCAUCGAACAGUUAAUAACCACUUAUAAUGAACAGAGUGCUAAUCUUUCUUUCAGGUUGUUGAUAAGAGCAAACUUUAUAUUUCCAAAUGUUCAUCCUCUCCUACUAUGCCCCGCCGCUGCACCUCUAGUCAAAUGUUAGAUAGAUUUUUGUUUGUCAUUAACAAAAGUAACAAUAAGUAAUGUAGCACAUUAAAAAAAAAAAUUAUAGAGGCUAUCUGGGACCUGUAGAGACUGACAUGAAUGAAAGCCAAAAUGUGCAUGACGGUGUACAUGAGAAAACUAAUACCACACCAAAUACUGAUUUGAUUUAGUUUUACUAUCAACCUUUAUGCCUUUAUAUGCCAGCAACAAGUGAAAUGAGCAUUGGGCAUUACCCAUAAGGACUCCCUCUGGUGGCAAAGCAUGCUCCACUUUUUUCCACACACAACACAUGACUUAAAAAAGACAAGUCUGCUACUGAUGUACAUUUUACUGAUGUAUGUAUUUCUGUUGUAUAUUUAAAGCCUUAAACCUGCAUUUGGAGUAUUUCGUUUCAGAUUAGCACGAGACAACCUGUCACUCUUUCAUUCCCUGAUUCGCUCAUCCAGCUGAGUCUGUGUGUUCAUGACCACAUGCUCCUUGUCAGGGUGCUGACAGGCUCAGAGACAUAACCCCUCAUUGUUCAUUAACAAUACUCGCUGCUUCUUGAUGUCUCAAUGAUGUCAGAGGUAAACAAACAAUCAGGUCAUCUGCACAUAUUUCAUCUUGCUUCUAUGUAGGAAGGUUAUAGCAGUCUAUAGAGAUCAUUUUAGUGUAAUCACAACCAUUUCUCCACAAUUACUUUCUUCACUAUGAGACAUGCAGCAUGUUUCUUUUAGUUUCAUGUAUAAAGGUCCCAAAGAAGCAUAAACUAUAAUGUAUAGUAAUAUGUGUAGUAUUACACAGAAAGGUAAUGUGUUUUAAACCACUACUGGUUCACCACAGAAACUAUUUAUUUAGUCACCUUAAUAAAUUAGCUCUUUUGUAGCACUUUUAAAGGAUUGUUAACCUCCCAUUAUUUUUAAGAUUCAUUAAGAACAUUUAAACCCCAGUAGAUAUAAAACAGUAUGAAAACUUCAUCUGUUUGAUAAACCCAUCAUUGAAAGUGCAACCAUGCUGUUUCUGGAAUUCAGUCCAUGUAAAAUAAUGCUCUUUUAAUGAGUAGUUAAAGCUUUAAAAGCAUUUCCGCAUGCAAAUCGCAAGCAUGUGAGACUCCGUGGUAGGUGUAGUAGGCAGAAAUCGAAGCAGAGAGAUGGAGCAGAUCCUCUUGAUCUUGUGUACUGCUUUCCUAUUGGGCAUGGGCUAGAGCUCCUGCCCCCUGGCCGAACCCAAAACCCUUCGGCCCAAAGUUCUUAGCAUAGCAACCUGUAGAUUAAAAACAAUGAUAGAGUUAUACAUUUUAAAUCGUCAGACCUGACCUAUACAUUUUAAAUCCCAGACCUGCCAACCCCAAAGAGGAAUAAUGUGUAAUUCUGCCAGGAUGAGGAUGGGGGCCAGUUUGAGGGUAUGGGGUAGUCAUGAAUAAAUAUAAGCAUGUUACAUAUGUACAUGUCUAAUGUUAGCUAAGUCAAAGAUACACUGAGAUAUUUUAUUUUGCAUUCAUUAAUUCAAAACAUUCUCCAUUUACCUUGACAGAAAACGAAGCUGCAUCUUUCAAGUGAGAAACUGAGAGUGGAGAAGACAGCACCAACCAACAGAGAUGGGGAAAUGGGGGCAGGGCUUUCAGGGGGUAUUAACAUAAUAAUAUCAGAGAGUUGAAAACACCUACACAACUGGCACUCAUUCCAAAUUCAUAUGUAGAUUGGCUUGCCUGUCAUUUUUAUUGUUGGGGGGAAAUGGAAGACUCUUUUGGUAAAUUUUUAAGUGAUACCUCAUCGCAACAUACUCCAAUGUUAAAAUGCAGAGCUCCUAUACAAAAUACAUGAAGGUUGGCAGGUCUGUAAUCCAUUUAUAUCCAUAUUAUUCCAUGUACACUGUUAUUAGAACAGGAUCAUAUGGUAUACCAUAGUGUUUUCCAGUACUGGUACAGGAAUAUCAGAAUACUGUUAAUUUCCUGUUCUAACACAGCUAUUUUAACCUCAUGGUUAUUAAUGAACUAAUUCAGAGUCCUGGAGCUGAAUAAUAAUCACAAAUGUACUCCAAGAUCAAGAUUACAAAAUGCUGGAUGAGUUGAUAUACACUCACUGGCCACUUUAAUAGGAACUUGUUCUUGACUCUAAGAUUCCUGUUCUUGGCUGGCAGGAGUGGAACCCAAUGUGGUCUUAUGCUGUUGCAUGCUGAGAUGCUUUUCUGCUCACCAUGGUUGUAAAGAGUUGCUAUGAGUUGCUAUAUCCUUCCUGUCAGCUCAAACCAAUCAGGCCGUUUCCCUCUGACCUCUCUUAUCAACAAGGCAUUUCCACCCACAGAACUGUCACUCAUUCAAUGUUUUUUUGUUUUUUGCACCAUUCUGUGUAAACUCUAGAGACUGUUGUGUGUGAAAACCCCUGGAGAUCAGCAGUUUUGGAAAUACUCAAACGAGUCCAUCUGGCACCAACAGCCAAACCACAGUGAAAGUCACACUUUGAGAUCAUAAUUUUUCCCAUUCUGAUGUUUGAAGUGAACAUUAACUGAAGCUCUUGAUUUGUAUCUGCAUGAUUUUAUGCAUUGUGCUGCUGUCAAGGGAUUGGCUGAUUAGAGAACGGCAUCAAACAGCAGGUGGAUGGGUGUUCCUAGUAAAGUGGAAGGAAAUAACUGGCAAAAGCCUUUUUGGUUCAGGGAGAGUUCAACAGCACUCUGUUCAUAUCGUUGAUGCACUGCUUCAAUAUUGUGGACAACACAGACAUAUUGAGGAGGAGCACACACUGGAGUCCCAUAUAAGGCAUCCACUACCACGAUGGCGUUCAUUUUCUGAAUUCCUAAUAUGGGCACACUUGUUAAAGUAGACAUGUUAGUCUUCUUCACAUGCAACCUAGGAAUUCAAGACAUGUCAUCUUUCUGCACGGAUGUCUCAGAGUUUCUGAAAUAGAUUAGACAAUAAUAAGUCGACUGGAAGCCCUUCCUUAUUGAAACAAAAUUCUGAAGUUGGUGACUUACUACAGAGAAAGCAGGACUUGUGGAAAUACUUCCCCUCGCACUGGACUUCCUCUGCAAAGUAUACAGUCUUCUGGCAACAGCCACACCUGUUUCCCCCUCCGAGGGGCAUCCUGAACUCACACACACACACACACACACACACACACAAUCCAUACAAUGCAAAUAUACAUGGUAAAAUAUCUACACUAGACCAACAAACAAUUCAUCUUGAAAUAUGAUGGACAUACAUAGUGAUAUUCUGAGUAAACUGUCAAAUAAACAAUGGCAUAUUUUUA